rnacentral:snRNA from 1 species
AAAAAGGGUUUCUGCAAAUGCACGCAUCAAGUAUUAAUCGUUGACUAAUAUGAGAUGUGCGGAAUCGCCAUCAAGAGAUUCCGGAAACGUAAUUUUUGGAAACAAGAGGUGCUGGAAUCGCUUAAUUUCAGUACCUCU